AGACCCUCUUCCCCCUGUCUGGGUCACCGCACCACGUGGCGUGUUGUGUCUGAGCACAUCGGGGACGUUUUGAUUAGAAAGAAGGAGGAAAAAAGCAGUUCUGGGUUACAAAAACCAAGGCCAAAGCCAUUUCUGGUCCUUCCGGUUCAUCCAUAAGGAUCCAGCCGUGGCAGAAGGAUCAUGAUGAACUAAAGAACCGCAGCUCUCUUCUCAUUUCAAGGGUAAUUUCUCUUUGAGUUCCUCAUGAAAAACACCACACUGGGGUAAAUACAGAGAGCAGGGGCUCAGGGAUAUUCUUGUUUGGGAUCAUUCUGGUUUAGAAAGGAAGAAAAAUGAUUUGAAAGUUUGAUGCAUUUUCUCUGUGGUCGUGCAUUUUCAGUGUGUGUUUCACUGAAUUCGCCUCUUUUUUUUUUACUAUUUAAUUUUUCUUAUACAUCUUUAAUUUCAUUUUCUGGUUUUUAUGAAGUCCCUCAGUGUGUUUUUGUGGUGAGCUGCCAUGGUAUUACCAAUGCGUCUGAAAUACUGCAGACAGAAAGACAGCCACUUGAAAGCAGUAAUGAGCGGACUGCUGAACCUCUGAAAGUAUCUGGGUGCGUUCGGCGUGAUGUUCACACUUUGCUGACCUUGCAGAAGCCUUGGAGGAGCUGCAGUUUCGGAGCUAGUUCUGCACAGUAAGAGGCUCCCCAGUGAGAGAACACUGACACUUAUACCAGGCACAACAUUAGCUGCAUGCUCUUAGCAUGGAGGCAUGUGGAGCAAACAAUGAAUCAAGGCUGUUUAUAAAGCCUUCAACACAUCAGGCAGUGGAGAAGAGCCCAAGUUUCCACGUAAAGGUCUGAAUGGACAAGAAUGACGUGAAACACAUGGAAAAUAUGGAAAAUGUGGAAUAAGUAAUAAAAUUAUAAAUAAAACAAAUACAAUAAAUUGGGAA